CCCCGUGUGGUACAGUUGGUAGAGCAUGGUGUUUGCAACGCCAGGGUUGUGAGUUCAAUUCCCACGGGGG
rnacentral:tRNA from 1 species